GCUUUCUUUGCUGGCGACCGGCGCACGGGUGAGUAACACGUAUCCAACCUGCCCUUUACUCGGGGAUAGCCUUUCGAAAGAAGGAUUAAUACCCGAUAGCAUAAUGAUUCCGCAUGGUUUCAUUAUUAAAGGAUUCCGGUAAAGGAUGGGGAUGCGUUCCAUUAGGUUGUUGGUGGGGUAACGGCCCACCAAGCCUUCGAUGGAUAGGGGUUCUGAGAGGAAGGUCCCCCACAUUGGAACUGAGACACGGUCCAA
rnacentral:rRNA from 1 species